rnacentral:lncRNA from 1 species
AGUACGCCAAGAAAAAAGGAGAGGCUCCUCAAUAACCCUCAAGACAUAAUGUCAUUUUCUCUCCUGUGGAUGAAGACUAUCUGCUGAAUAUUUAUUAGUCUGCUGGGUCACCUGCUAGAAAACAGACAAUUCUCCAGCAACUUCAAACACUCUUCUUCACUGAACUACAGUUUGGUAUGAGACGUCAAAGGAUAAGAAUGUGCAUACCUAAGUGGUCAAAUGAAGAUGAAUGUUCUAUAUGGCUUUUACCCCAUACUGCCCAAGACUGUGUUAAAAACUAAAUACAUCAGGAUGCUCUAAGCCACUGAAGAGCCAUGUUUGCCAGUCACAUUAUACUGGGCUUCUCUGGUUAUACAAAGGGACACCUAAUGAAGAUAUUCUGUUGAUAUAAAAGCAGUCUCAUGGACAGUAAUCUUUCUAUAUCCUUAGGCAGCCACAAUACUGCCUGUCAAAUAUAAUUACCAGCAGAAGAACAGAAAACUAACACUUACCUAUUACCUUGUUAACAUGUCCACAAUGAGCCAAUAUGAAAUGAAUAUAAUAAUGGUGUCAUUUGUGGGGAAAAGCCUGAGAGACAUGGUUUAUAGGGCUCACCAAGGUCUGAAUGUCAGAAAGAAUAUUACGUGAUAAGACUAUUUUAAGACGCAAAUAUAA